rnacentral:ncRNA from 20 species
UGUCUCCUCCAUGUCUCCUCUGAUAUGGAUUCCGCUCGCCACUUAGGUGGUUUUUUU